rnacentral:rRNA from 1 species
UUUAGAGGAAGUAAAAGUCGUAACAAGGUUUCCGUAGGUGAACCUGCGGAAGGAUCAUUAUCGAAUAAACUUGAACAGGCUGUUGCUGACCCCCCUAGGGUGUGUAUGUGCACGCUUGUCAUCUUUAUCAUUUCUCCAACUGUGCACAUAUUGUAGACCCUUGGAAAGCUUUUUGAAUUUAUUUUCGAGUUGGGACUGCUGUGCUUUUGAUCAAAGUCAGCUUUGCCCUUUGCAUUUCCAGGUCUAUGUCAUUUUUCACAAACCUCUUGAUGCGUUUAGAAUGUGUUGAAUCAGGUCAAUUUGUACCUAUAAAGUUUAAAUAUACAACUUUCAGCAACGGAUCUCUUGGCUCUCGCAUCGAUGAAGAACGCAGCGAAAUGCGAUAAGUAAUGUGAAUUGCAGAAUUCAGUGAAUCAUCGAAUCUUUGAACGCAUCUUGCGCUCCUUGGUAUUCCGAGGAGCAUGCCUGUUUGAGUGUCAUUCAACUUCUCUCAACUACAUCAAUCAGUCUGAUGUGGCUUGGAUGUGGGGGGAUUUUCUUUGCAGGCUUUUUUGAAUGAAGUCUGCUCCCCUGAAAUACAUUAGUGGUGUCUGAGCUGCUGCUAUAGGUGUGAUAAUUAUCUACGCCUUAUGCUAGGUUGGUUGCGCUGCUUCUAACAAAAAAGACCUACAAUUUUAUUAUUGUUUGACAAAUUUGACCUCAAAUCAGGUAGGACUACCCGCUGAACUUAAGCAUAUCA